rnacentral:pre_miRNA from 1 species
AAUUUCAGUUGAAAAAGUCAUGAACAUGAAAGUUGCAGAGCUCAUCAAGACAUACAACUUUUAUUUUGGUCAUUUCUUCAUCUGAUAAAUUGAUAAUAAUAUUGUUCACAAAGUUUACAUAUGAGAUAGAUGCAAAUUUUGUGAACAAUGUUACUAUCACUUUGUCGGAUGAAGAAAUGACCAAAAUAAAAGUUAUAGAUCUUGAUGAGUUAUAUAACUUUGUUGUUGAUGACUUUUUCAGUUGAAAUC